UAUUUCGCCUUCUUGUUUGACAUUUUCGCCGCGCCAGCCAAAAUGUCAUUCAUUCGGUGCGUUUUCGAUUUGCCAGUCGCAGAUUUCGAGUUUUCGCCUUUCUAUCGCAGCCGCUAAUAUCUACCCAAAAUGACUGCCUGGAGAGCUGCCGGAUUGAACUACAUCAACUAUUCCAACAUCGCCGCCCGCCUCCUGCGGCAAGCGCUGAAAUCGGAUCUGCGAGCUGCGGCUGCCAGGCGGAAUGAAUCCCACAUCAAGUUUACAAAGUGGACCAACGGAAAGCCGGAAAAUGAAAAGUAAACAUGAAACAAGCUAGUAACGAACGGAUUCGGCGUUCGUCAUCUGCUGCCCCAUAAUGGGUGGGUGGUACCAAGGCCGUUAAUUAAAUCGGGCGAUGAACUAAGCCGUAGCGUGUAAAUUGGAUGAAAUGCAGAAAUAAGAAAUAAAGUUGAAGAACAUUCUUACGUUGGAAAGGUAA